rnacentral:rRNA from 1 species
AUAGCUCACUGGUCGAGUGGUUCGGCGCCGACAAUGUAACGGGGCUCAAGCAGAGUACCGAAACCGUGGAAUUGGCCUUCGGGCCGAUUGGUAGGGGAGCGUUCCGUUCAGCAGUGAAGCGGGACCCGCGAGGGCCCGUGGAGCGGACGGAAGUGAGAAUGUUGGCAUGAGUAACUACUAGGCAGGUGAAAACCCUGCCCACCGAAUCCCCAAGGUUUCCCACGCAACGGCAAUCGGCGUGGGGUUAGUCGGUCCUAAGGCCAGGCUGAAAAGCGUAACCGAUGGAUAACAGGUCAAUAUUCCUGUACUUCAUAAAGAUCGCCCAAGGGUGUAAGUUGAUAGUCUUACAAGCCUCUGUUCUUACCAUUCUGCUUUCAAAAAAAAUUCGAAGCACGAAGCACGAAAUUCGAUAGUCUCGGAUUUCGAAAUUCGGAUUUCGAAUUUAGAUGAGGGUGGAAUGGUAAGAACAUGUUUAUGAGAAAGGAAGCUUUCAUUCUAGGAGCGGUGGGACGGAGUGGGAAGACCAGAGCGUGUGUAUUGACUGCACGUGUAAUGCGUAAGGUAUUGAGAUUCAUAGGAAAAUCCGUGAGUCGAGCCGAGCGCAGAUACCAAUUGCGUACCGCAAGGUGCGUUAGUCUGACUCUUUGCGCUUCCAAGAAAAGCAUCGCUUCCCAGAGCUUUAUGAAACCGUACCGCAAACCAACACCGGUGGGGUGGUCGAGUAGACCAAGGUGAACGAGAGAACUCGCGUUAAGGAACUCGGCAAAAUAGCGUCCGUAACUUCGGGAUAAGGACUGACGGUGGCCGCAAGGUCAUCGCCCGCAGCAAAAGAGACCAGGCAACUGUUUACCAAAAACACAGGUCCCUGCUAAGUCGCAAGACGAUGUAUAGGGGCUGAUGCCUGCCCAGUGUCAGAAGGUUACGUGAGAGGGUGCAAGCCUUUGAUCUAAGCCCUGAUGAACGGCGGCCGUAACUAUAACGGUCCUAAGGUAGCGAAAUUCCUUGUCGGGUAAGUUCCGACCCGCACGAAUGGUACAAUGGUCUGGUCACUGUCUCGACGCGAGACUCGGUGAAAUUGCAGUCCCGGUGCAAAUGCCGGGUAGAUGACGGAAGGACGAAAAGACCCUAUGAAGCUUUACUAUACGCUGGCAUUGUGUUUUUACUCUGCUUGUGCAGGAUAGGUGGGAGACUUUGAAGCGGUGACGUCAGUCACUGUGGAGUCAUUGUUGAGAUACCACCCUUGUAUUGUGAAAACACUCACCUUGUGUGUGACACGCACCAGGGGACAGUGCUUGCCGGGUAGUUUAACUGGGGCGGUUGCCUCCUAAAAUGUAACGGAGGCGUGCAAUGGUCUGCUAGCACCGGAUGGAAAUCGGUGUUGUCGUGUAAUCGCAUAAGCAGGCCUGACUGUGAGACUUACAGGUCGAGCAGGGACGAAAGUCGGUGAUAGUGAUCCGGUGUCCGAGCACUUUAAAAUGCUCAAACCACGUGGGUGGGACAUCGCUCAACGGAUAAAAGUUACUCUAGGGAUAACAGGCUGAUCGCUCCCAAGCGCCCACAGCGACGGAGCGGUUUGGCACCUCGAUGUCGGCUCAUCGCAUCCUGGGGCUGAAGAAGGUCCCAAGGGUUUGGCUGUUCGCCAAUGAAAGCGGUACGCGAGCUGGGUUCAGAACGUCGUGAGACAGUUUGGCCUCUAUCCUCCGUCAUCAUCUAGAAACGUGAAGGAAGCUGCUCCUAGUACGAGAGGACCGGAGUGGACGAACCUCUGGUGUACCUAUUGUCGUGUCAACGGCAGAGUAGGAUAGCUAUGUUCGGCAGGGAUAACCGCUGAAAGCAUCUAAGUGGGAAGCCCCUCCUAAGAUUGCGUUUCUCCAUAAGUCCGCCGGAAGAUGACCGGCUAGAUCGGCUACAGGUGUACGCACGGUAACGUGUUCAGCCGAGUAGUACGAAUGGACGAUUGAACAUUUUUC